rnacentral:rRNA from 1 species
AACGUAGGGGACAAGCGUUAUCCGGAUUUACUGGGCGUAAAGCGCCCGUAGGCGGCCUGACAAGUUGGACGUGAAAGCUCCUGGCUUAACUGGGAGAGGCCGUUCAAAACUGUCAAGCUAGAGUCUGGAAGAGGAGAGCGGAAUUCCCGGUGUAGUGGUGGAAUGCGUAGAGAUCGGGAGGAACACCAGUGGCGAAGGCGAGUCUCUGGACAGUUACUGACGCUGAGGCACGAAGGCCAGGGGAGCAAACGGG